CUGGAACAUUUCCAUUAGGCUGGGAUCGUUACAAUAUCUUACAAGGUUUUCAGCCAUCUCAAAACGUAUCAAUUACCUACCAAGAAAAUAUACUUUUUUCACAGCUACUAUUUCUAUUCCUUAUUUUGAGAGGAAAAUGUGGAAAGACAGAAGUGAGAAGUUUUUCUGAAAGAGCAAAUACACAUUUAUCACCAAGAUAAACAGCUUUAAACCAUGUUGUCAUGUGGCCUAAGACUUGUGCACAAACACACACAGACACACACAGAAUUGUUCAUAAAUACACAGGCAACCACCCACACAUACCACCUGGUCACCUCAAACAGCAGGGUCAGUAGUGUUUUAGUGUCUGUAACCCAGAUUACACAGUAAUGACUGUAAUGAUUUACUAAACAGACUACAUCUACUGGUUGACAUGUUUAUGAUGUUCUCACUGUCUUCUAUCUACUCUGUAUUACAGAUGACCUCAGGAGGGACUAUGAUGUCCUCAGUAGGGACUAUGGACAACAGAGCUCUGUGCUGGGUAAGUAAUGUGGUGUUUACAGGAUCCAGUUUUAUAACGUCAAUAAGAAAUAAUGUCAGCAGGUGUUUUAUUGUUUAUCUGUAUGUGGUAAAGGGAAGCUGAACAAAACAUGAAACCUAUUCUGAACUAUAGAACUGUGCAAAAGUCAUAGGCCACCUGAGAAAAUUGUAUAAAGCUAAUUAUUCAGGCAGAAAUUAUUAAUUUGCUUUUAGAAAUUAUAUGACAUUAUAACAAAUAUAAAGAAGC
ensembl:lncRNA